AUACAGAGGUCCCGAGCGUUGUUCGGAUUCACUGGGCGUAAAGGGUGCGUAGGUGGUGAGGUAAGUCGGAUGUGAAAUCUCGGAGCUUAACUCCGAAAUGGCAUUGGAAACUGCCUUGCUAGAGGUUCGGAGGGGGGACUGGAAUACUUGGUGUAGCAGUGAAAUGCGUAGAUAUCAAGUGGAACACCAGUGGCGAAGGCGAGUCCCUGGACGAAACCUGACACUGAGGCACGAAAGCUAGGGGAGC
rnacentral:rRNA from 1 species